rnacentral:rRNA from 1 species
GAUGAACGCUGGCGGCGUGCCUAAUACAUGCAAGUCGAGCGAACGGACGAGAAGCUUGCUUCUCUGAUGUUAGCGGCGGACGGGUGAGUAACACGUUGAUAACCUACCUAUAAGACUGGGAUAACUUCGGGAAACCGGAGCUAAUACCGGAUGAUAUUUUGAACCGCAUGGUUCAAAAGUUAAAGACGGUCUUUCUGUCACUUAUAUAUGGAUCCGCGCUGCAUUAGCUAGUUGGUAAGGUAACGGCUUACCAAGGCAACGAUGCAUAUCCGACCUGAGAGGGUGAUCGGCCACACUGGAACUGAGACACGGUCCAGACUCCUACGGGAGGCAGCAGUAGGGAAUCUUCCGAAAUGGGCGAAAGCCUGACGGAGCAACGCCGCGUGAGUGAUGAAGGUCUUCGGAUCGUAAAACUCUGUUAUUAGGGAAGAACAUAUGUGUAAGUAACUGUGCACAUCUUGACGGUACCUAAUCAGAAAGCCACGGCUAACUACGUG